CACAAGCGGUGGAUCAUGUUGUUUAAUUCGAUGAUACGCGAAGAACCUUACCAGGUCUUGACAUCCCCGCGAUGCUUUAGAGAUAAAGCGGAGGUAUUCGGGGAGACAGGUGGUGCAUGGUUGUCGUCAGCUCGUGUCGUGAGAUGUUGGGUUAAGUCCCGCAACGAGCGCAACCCCUAUUGCUAGUUACCAUCAUUAAGUUGGGGACUCUAGCGAGACUGCCAGUGAUAAACUGGAGGAAGGCGGGGAUGACGUCAAAUCAGCACGGCCCUUACGUCCAGGGCUACACACGUGCUACAAUGGCCGAUACAGAGGGCAGCUACCUGGUGACAGGAUGCAAAUCUCCAAAGUCGGUCUCAGUUCGGAUCGGAGUCUGCAACCCGACUCCGUGAAGUUGGAUUCGCUAGUAAUCGCGCAUCAGCCAUGGCGCGGUGAAUACGUUCCCGGGCCUU
rnacentral:rRNA from 1 species